AACGAACGCUGGCGGCAGGCCUAACACAUGCAAGUCGAGCGCGCCCUUCGGGGUGAGCGGCGGACGGGUGAGUAACGCGUGGGAACGUGCCCUUUUCUACGGAAUAGCCUCGGGAAACUGAGAGUAAUACCGUAUACGCCCUUUGGGGGAAAGAUUUAUCGGAAAAGGAUCGGCCCGCGUUGGAUUAGGUAGUUGGUGGGGUAAUGGCCUACCAAGCCGACGAUCCAUAGCUGGUUUGGGAGGAUGAUCAGCCACACUGGGACUGAGACGCGGCCCAGACUCCUACGGGAGGCAGCAGUGGGGAAUCUUAGACAAUGGGGGCAACCCUGAUCUAGCCAUGCCGCGUGAGUGAUGAAGGCCUUAGGGUUGUAAAGCUCUUUCAGCUGGGAAGAUAAUGACGGUACCAGCAGAAGAAGCCCCGGCUAACUCCGUG
rnacentral:rRNA from 1 species